CAAAAGUACAUGAGCAGUGAUGUUAUAACUAAUGGAUCACAGGCAGUUACAGAUUUCUUUGUUCUUUCUCCACCCUCACUGCUUCAUUUGACUAGC
rnacentral:sRNA from 1 species